UACAGAGGUCCCAAGCGUUGUUCGGAUUCAUUGGGCGUAAAGGGUGCGUAGGCGGCGAGGCAAGUCUGGUGUGAAAUCCCGGGGCUCAACCCCGGAACUGCACUGGAUACUGCUUUGCUAGAGUACUGGAGAGGGAACUGGAAUUUACGGUGUAGCAGUGAAAUGCGUUGAUAUCGCUAGGAACUCCGGUGGCGAAGGCGAGGUGCUGGACCAUUUCUGACGCUGAGGCGCGAAAGCCAGGGGAGCGAACGGG
rnacentral:rRNA from 1 species